rnacentral:rRNA from 1 species
GGCUCAGGACGAACGCGGGCGGCGUGCCUAACACAUGCAAGUCGAACGAGGUCCAUCCAGUAGCAAUACUGGGGAAGACCUAGUGGCGAACGGGUGAGUAACACGUGAGGAACCUGCCCCGGAGACCGGGAUAACGCUCCGAAAGGAACGCUAAUACCGGAUACCUUCACCAGGCCGCAUGACCUGGUGAAGAAAUGGAUUCCGCUUCGGGAGGGCCUCGCGGCCUAUCAGCUUGUUGGUGGGGUAACGGCCCACCAAGGCUUCGACGGGUAGCUGGUCUGAGAGGACGAUCAGCCACACUGGGACUGAGACACGGCCCAGACUCCUACGGGAGGCAGCAGUGGGGAAUCUUGCGCAAUGGGCGAAAGCCUGACGCAGCAACGCCGCGUGGGGGAUGAAGGCUCUCGGGUUGUAAACCCCUUUCAGCAGGGACGAUCGUGACGGUACCUGCAGAAGAAGGCCCGGCCAACUACGUGCCAGCAGCCGCGGUAACACGUAGGGGCCAAGCGUUGUCCGGAUUUAUUGGGCGUAAAGAGCUCGUAGGCGGUUCGGUAAGUCGGGUGUGAAACCUCCAGGCUCAACCUGGAGACGCCACCCGAUACUGCUGUGACUCGAGUCCGGUAGGGGAGCGUGGAAUUCCUGGUGUAGCGGUGAAAUGCGCAGAUAUCAGGAGGAACACCAGCGGCGAAGGCGGCGCUCUGGGCCGGAACUGACGCUGAGGAGCGAAAGCGUGGGUAGCAAACAGGAUUAGAUACCCUGGUAGUCCACGCCGUAAACGUUGGGCACUAGGUGUGGGUCUCAACCAACGGGAUCUGUGCCGUAGCUAACGCAUUAAGUGCCCCGCCUGGGGAGUACGGCUGCAAGGCUAAAACU